CUCCUACGGGAGGCAGCAGUGGGGAAUUUUGGACAAUGGGGCGCAAGCCUGAUCCAGCCAUGCCGCGUGAGUGAAAGAAGGCCUUCGGGUUGUAAAGCUCUUUCGGCCGGGAAGAAAUCGUGGUCUCUAACAUAGGCCAUGGAUGACGGUACCGGACUAAGAAGCACCGGCUAACUACGUGCCAGCAGCCGCGGUAAUACGUAGGGUGCGAGCGUUAAUCGGAAUUACUGGGCGUAAAGCGUGCGCAGGCGGUUUUGUAAGACAGAUGUGAAAUCCCCGGGCUUAACCUGGGAACUGCGUUUGUGACUGCAAGGCUAGAGUACGGCAGAGGGGGGUGGAAUUCCUGGUGUAGCAGUGAAAUGCGUAGAGAUCAGGAGGAACACCGAUGGCGAAGGCAGCCCCCUGGGCCUGUACUGACGCUCAUGCACGAAAGCGUGGGG
rnacentral:rRNA from 1 species